UACAGAGGUCCCGAGCGUUGUUCGGAUUCAUUGGGCGUAAAGGGUGCGUAGGUGGCGCGUUAAGUCCGUUGUGAAAUCCCUGGGCUCAACCCAGGAAUUGCUUCGGAUACUGGCGUGCUUGAGGCUAGUAGGGGUCACUGGAACUGACGGUGGAGCGGUGAAAUGCGUAGAUAUCGUCAGGAACGCCGAUGGUGAAGACAGGUGACUGGGCUAGUUCUGACACUGAGGCACGAAAGCGUGGGGAGCGAACGGG
rnacentral:rRNA from 1 species